rnacentral:pre_miRNA from 1 species
UGGUCAUGAUGAUGGUGGUCAUGGCCGUGAUGAUCAUGACCGUGAUGGUCAUGGUGAUCGUGGCCAUGAUCGUGGUGGUCAUGGCCGUGAUCGUGG